AAACAAACAAAAAAACUCAACUUGUUAUAGGAUAUAUUCUGUAUCUUUCUAGAUAUUCUUUAUGUGUGUCUUGGCCUUAUGUCAAUAGGAUAUGUAGUUAGACUAGAUCUAUGUAUUCAUAUCCUUACCAUAUUAGUAUUGUGUAAUUCCCUAUAUAAAGGACUAAGAUGAUGAUUCUUUUACUAUCUCUUAUUCUCUAUAGUUUAUAUUUCAUCACAACUCAUUUUUGCACAUAUUUUUUUUCUAGGGCUUGUUCAUGAUAUGCAUUUUUUUUUUUAAGAAUUAGAUCUGAAAUGCUGAAAUACUAUGUGUGUGUAUGUGGUUCUUGAUCGAUCUGGUUCUUCCUUUCCUAUAUUUAUAAUGGUAGCAACAAAAAGUAGAUCGAUGAUCAUAAUGGUUAAAUUAAAGCAUGAAAGUCGAUUAUUGACUCGAUCCCUAAAAAAAACAUUAAUGAAAGUAAGUCUGACUUAAGUACCAUAUAACUUCUAGUUCUGGUAAUUCAUAUUCUUUGGAGAUGUCCUUUCAAUUUGAUUAGUUUUAAGUAUAUAUUUAACAAUUGUAGAAUGCUGCAACUAAUAUAUAUACUUCCGAUCCCAAGCACUAUUAUUGUUUGCUUGUAUAUUUUCCUAACUCUAUCUCUUUCCUUCAUCCCAAAUUUCUGUUAUUCAUGAAUUCUUUUGACAAAUUUAAAGGGAGCAUCAAGAUCUUUACCCUAUAUGUUAACACUUGCUGAUGAACUAACCCUAGACAAGAAAGAAUCGUUUGCAAAUAAGGCAAGAUUUUUUUUUUUUAUAUUUGUAUUUUAUAAAUCAAGGGUAAAACUGGAUUUCUAAAGUUACAAAAAUGUUAGGAGGUUCAAGUAGCAGUUUUAUGUACGAAUAGAAGCUCCCAUACUUGGACUUUAUAUCUUUUUUUGGGUUUUAAUUUGUUAACGACAUUAGCAUAUAUACAUGAUAGUGCCACCUAAUUAAAUGGCUAGAUCAAAUGCUAUAUAUAAAUUGCUCAAUUCACUUGCGUCUUGGUGCGUAGUGCGUAACAAUUCAAAUAUGUAUAGGUAUGUAGGAGUAGGUCGACACGCUAAAUACUCUAAAGUCUAAACAAUUUGCUAAGAGAAUAGUCAAGUACUCGGUAGUACGUAUAUACGAGAGAGAGAGAGAGAGAGAGAGAGAGAGAGAGAG
rnacentral:lncRNA from 1 species